UAUCACUGCAGAUUACAGAAGAAAAUUGUAAACAUCUUGAUCCUUCAAGAAUCAUAACAUUUAGGAGAUCUUGCCUUGUUUUAUUAAAUCUUUGUUUAUUUCAUGUUAAUUUACGGAUAACUGACAUUUUUCAAAUUAUAGCACUGAAUAUUUUAGUAGGAUCUUUCGCAGAGGACUCGCAUUUAUUACUGAAUGCACCUAUUCUGACCCAUGCAUGAUCGUUGACAUGUGAGACUAUCAUCAGUUAGUUAAAGGUUGUUGCAUCUAUUUUGGAGAUUUUACUAUGGCCACUCUGACAAGGCAGGACCUUAAUUUUGGACAAGUUGUUGCUGACAUUCUGUGUGAGUUUUUGGAAGUGGCCAUUCACCUCAUCCUCUAUGUCAGAGAAGUGUAUCCGUCUGGCAUCUUUCAGAAAAGGAAGAAAUAUAACGUUCCUGUGCAGAUGUCAUGCCAUCCUGAUUUAAAUCAGUACAUCCAAGACACGCUCCAUUGUGUCAAGCCAUUGAUAGAGAAGAAUGAGGCUGAGAAGGUUGUGGUGGUGAUUAUGGAUAAAGAGCAUCAUCCAGUGGAGAGAUUUGUGUUUGAGAUCUCACAGCCUCCACUGCUGUCCAUCAGCUCAGAGACUCUGCUGUCCCAUGUGGAGCAGCUUCUGAGAGCUGUAAUUCUAAAAAUCAGUGUGUGUGACGCUGUUCUAGACACCAAUCCUCCAGGAUGUACAUUCACAGUGCUGGUACACACCAGGGAAGCUGCCACAAGAAACAUGGAAAAAGUUCAGGUCAUCAAGGAUUUUCCAUGGAUUGUAGCAGAUGAGCAGGAAGUUCACAUGGAAGAGGCUAAACUCAUUCCUCUAAAAACAAUGACUUCUGAUAUUCUCAAGAUGCAACUAUAUGUAGAAGAAAAGGCACAGAAAACUUGAUGCACUGCAAACUAGGAUUCUGUUAGUUUCUGUUUCUACAGGAAGUGGUUUUAAGUAUUUGUAUUUCUCAGAAAAAGGAAAUGUGUUGCGCUCGGCUUUACUUCUUUUUAAAAUUUGUCAUCAAUAACUCACUCACAUGCAAGACAAGGAGACAAGCUAGGGUAAAUGAACACAAUGGCAGUAACGAACAGGACACCACAGCUCCAUGAGACAAAAUGAUGACCUCUGUUCCAGUGAUGAUGAUUUUAUUAGUCCCCCGAAAUGUGCAUAUACUAUAAUCUCUCAACAUUACUAUCAUUCAUCAUGAAAAUCAUGCUUUCCAUGGCAACUUGCAAUAAUGCAGAAUAUGAAAUUAAUGGAGAGUGUUGUCCAAUGUGUGAUCCAG